UACGUAGGGCGCGAGCGUUGUCCGGAUUUAUUGGGCGUAAAGAGCUCGUAGGCGGUGUGUCGCGUCGGCCGUGAAAACCUGCAGCUUAACUGUGGGCUUGCGGUCGAUACGGGCAUCACUGGAGUUCGGCAGGGGAGACUGGAAUUCCUGGUGUAGCGGUGAAAUGCGCAGAUAUCAGGAGGAACACCGGUGGCGAAGGCGGGUCUCUGGGCAACAACUGACGCUGAGGAGCGAAAGCGUGGGGAGCGAACAGG
rnacentral:rRNA from 1 species